rnacentral:rRNA from 1 species
GACGAACGCUGGCGGCGUGCUUAACACAUGCAAGUCGAACGGAAAGGCCCUGCUCUUGUGGGGUGCUCGAGUGGCGAAGGGGGGAGUAACACGUGAGUAACCUGCCCCUGUCUGUGGGAGAACUCCAGGGAACUGGGGCUAAUACCGGGUAGGAGCUACUGAAGCACGGGGGGGGUUGGAAAGAUUCGGCGGUGGGGGCUGGACUAGCGGCUUAUCAGCUUGUUGGGGGGGUAGUGGAGUACAAAGGCUUUGAAGGGUAGCCGGCCUGGGAGGGUGGCCGGCCACAUUGGUACUGAGAGACGCCCCAGACUCCUACGGGAGGCAGCAGUCGGGAAUAUUGCGCAAUGGGCGGACGCCUGUUGCAGCAACCCCGCGUGCGUGAUGACGUCCUUCGGGUUGUAAACCGCUUUCGCUUGUGACGAAGCGUGAGUGACGGUAACUGGUAAGGAAGCACCGGCUAACUACGUG